UCAGGCUCAUUCAGGAAAAGCCAAACAUCGAGUACAAACUCUGCUACCUUUAAUAUCCCUCAAGUGACCUUCAGUAAUGAGGGAUCGUACCAGUGUCAGUAUCAGACAAGAGUUUCAAGUCGAGACUUCAACUCCCCUCAAAGUGAUUCAAUCAGACUCUCUGUUACAGUGAUCCUCCCCAAGCCCAGCAUCUCCAUGAUUCCUGUGGGGAAUGUGACCUGGGGCCAAACUGUUAGCAUCACUUGUUCAAUCUCCACUCAGCAUUUAGGUGGAACAUUCACUCUGCAGCAGAGCUCAGGCUCAUUCAGGAAAAGCCAAACAUCGAGUACAAACUCUGUACCUUAACAUGCUCAAGUGACCUUCAGUAAUGAGGGAUCGUACCAGUGUCAGUAUCAGACAAGAGUUUCAAGUCGAGACUUCAGAUCCCCACAGAGUGACCCUGUCAGAGUUUCUGUUACUGUAAUCCUCCCAAAGCCCACCAUCUCCAAGAGUCCAGUUGGAGUGUUGACCUGGGGUCAAGAUGUUAGCAUCACUUGUUCAAUCUCAACUCAGCAUUUAGGUGGAACAUUCACUCUGCAGCAGACCUCAGGCUCAUUCAGGAAAAGCCAAACAUCGAGUACAAACUCUGUUACCUUUAAUAUCCCUCAAGUGACCUUCAGUAAUGAGGGAUCGUACCAGUGUCAGUAUCAGACAAGGAUUUCAAGCAGAGACUUCAGCUCCCGUCAAAGUGAUUCUGUUAGAAUCUCUGCUACUGUGAUCCUCCCCAAGCCCAGCAUCUCCAUGAUUCCUGUGGGGAAUGUGACCUGGGGCC